GCGGGGGUGCCCGAGAGGUCAAAGGGGUCGGGCUCAAGACCCGAUGGGCUCAGGCCCACCAGGGGUUCGAAUCCCCUCCCCCGCA
rnacentral:tRNA from 2 species